rfam:Paenibacillus larvae subsp. larvae DSM 25430, complete genome.
GAGGCGGUAUCCAAUAUCGAACUGCACUCUUACAAGAUCUUCAUUUAUAACGUUUUUAACAUGAACCAUAUUGUUAGCUUAACGGAUGAUGACGGAUUCUGCUCUGAGCCUGGAGGGACCGAGACAGAAGG